UGAGAUGAGGGGACAGUAAAGACUGAGACACAGGGGGAAGAUGAGGAGGUUGUAAUAACUGACACCUGUGGUGAGAUGAGGGGACAGUAAAGACUGAGACACAGGGGGAAGAUGAGGAGGUUGUAAUAACUGACACCUGUGGUGAGAUGAGGGGACAGUAAAGACUGAUACACAGGGGGAAGAUGAGGAGGUUGUAAUAACUGACACCUGUGGUGAGAUGAGGGGACAGUAAAGACUGAGACACAGGGGGAAGAUGAGGAGGUUGUAAUAACUGACACCUGUGGUGAGAUGAGGGGACAGUAAAGACUGAUACACAGGGGGAAGAUGAGGAGGUUGUAAUAACUGACACCUGUGGUGAGAUGAGGGGACAGUAAAGACUGAUACACAGGGGGAAGAUGAGGAGGUUGUAAUAACUGACACCUGUGAAGAAUCAGACAGCCCGUCACAAAACAGAUGACAGCAAGGGAAGAGACACUGAUAGUGGCACGCCUGGAUCAGAAUUGUAGCUGAGCCCACUUGUUUAAGUGUAUGACACAAGAAGAAGAGUCUACAAGUCUUAUGAUGUAAGGAGGCACUUAUAUCUUUUGUCUGGCGAAAGCUAUUCUGUAUGACGUUUGACAAGCCUUCCAUGCUGAAACGCUAAAGAAGCGCAGAAGCACAGCAAGCAGUAAAGGAAGGAAGAGAAAGAAGGAGCUAAUUUAGCUAUAACGCCAGGAAGAUUUUCCUGCCAUAUAAACCAAAAGCUCAUCCCAACUGUGAAGUGAAUCUAGGACAACAAGUUCCCUCUGCUGCAGUAACUACAUGGCCCCAUCUCGGAGGUCUAAUAGCUGUAUGCUGCCCCUGGGGGUGAGGAGGUCAACAAGCUGGUGCCAGAAGAAAGAAAACGGACUGCAGCCUCCUAGGAUCCCAGCUCAUCCCGUAAAGCCAGCUGUUGCACCAGCUCCUCCGAGUAAUCCUUAAUGGGCAUCUCAAUUUCCUCCAGAAGAUCAUUUAACUCUGCGACAGACAUCUGCUUCACCCCUAUGGAAAUCCAGGAGUAAUAGACCAGUUAGACCACGAUUAUUUCAUCAAAUACAUUUACACUUAUCGUCCAGAAGAUUAAAACCAGCAACUAUUGGGUUCUCUAGCUUGGAGAAGUGGAGCACUUUGAAGUCACAUUUGUUCGCGUCCCCACUGGCUAUGUUUCUCUUUCGGUGUCAGAAGUGCAGGAGGAUUGUUCAAGCUCCACAUCUCCAGGCACUUUCUACUCAAGGACGGUGAAUAAUCUCAAAGCAAUUAGAAGACGCCUUUCAUGUCGGAUUUUCAGUUAUGCUAAAAUACAUUUUAAUGAACUGGAAUUGACUGUGGCUGUGUUUUUGGAUAAGGUGAAUCAGUAUGAUUUCUCUCUAACUGC